GACGAACGCUGGCGGCGUGCUUAACUCAUGCAAGUCGAACGAAGUGGCGAACGGGUGAGUAAUACGUGGGUAACCUGCCCUCCUUUUUGGGAUAAGCCUUGGAAACGGGGUCUAAUACCGAAUAAAGGGGGAUGGGCUCGCGGCCUAUCAGCUUGUUGGUGGGGUGAUGGCCUACCAAGGCGGUGACGGGUAGCCGGCCUGAGAGGGUGACCGGCCACAUUGGGACUGAGAUACGGCCCAGACUCCUACGGGAGGCAGCAGUGGGGAAGUUUGGACAAUGGGGGCAACCCUGAUCCAGCCAUGCCGCGUGCAGGAUGAAGGUCUUCGGAUUGUAAACUGCUUUUGUCAGGAAAACGGUACCUGAAGAAUAAGCACCGGCUAACUACGUGCCAGCAGCCGCGGUAAUAC
rnacentral:rRNA from 1 species